CGGGUGAGUAACACGUAUGCAACCUGCCUGCCACAGCCGGAUAAUCGGGAGAAAUUCCGUCUAAUACGGCAUAAUGCAUCGACGGGACAUCCUGUUGGUGCCAAAGGUUAAUUCCGGUGGCGGAUGGGCAUGCGUCGCAUUAGUUAGUUGGCGGUGUAACGGACCACCAAGACGACGAUGCGUAGGGGUUCUGAGAGGAAGGUCCCCACACUGGUACUGAGACACGGACCAGACUCCUACGGAAGGCAGCAG
rnacentral:rRNA from 1 species